GGCUCAAAGUUGGAGUAGAAUAGAUUGGCAGGAUUAGUUGGCCAUACUAAUCCAUUCUACCUCAAGUUUGUGCCC
rnacentral:pre_miRNA from 1 species